AGGUGGAACAAAGAGAAUUGAGGG
rnacentral:miRNA from 1 species